rnacentral:rRNA from 1 species
AUUGAACGCUGGCGGCAGGCCUAACACAUGCAAGUCGAGCGGUUGAGGUAGCUUGCUACCGAUGCAGCGGCGGACGGGUGAGUAAUACAUGGGAAUCUGCCUGGUAGUGGGGGACAACGUUUCGAAAGGAACGCUAAUACCGCAUACGCCCUACGGGGGAAAGGGGGGGAUCUUCGGACCUCUCGCUAUCAGAUGAGCCCAUGUCGGAUUAGCUUGUUGGUGAGGUAAAGGCUCACCAAGGCGACGAUCCGUAACUGGUCUGAGAGGAUGAUCAGUCACACUGGAACUGAGACACGGUCCAGACUCCUACGGGAGGCAGCAGUGGGGAAUAUUGGACAAUGGGCGCAAGCCUGAUCCAGCCAUGCCGCGUGUGUGAAGAAGGCCUUAGGGUUGUAAAGCACUUUCAGUGGGGAGGAAGGUUAUUCACCUAAUACGUGAGUAAAUUGAUGUUACCCACAGAAGAAGCACCGGCUAACUCCGUGCCAGCAGCCGCCGCCG